UAGGGAAUCUUCCGCAAUGGACGCAAGUCUGACGGAGCAACGCCGCGUGAGUGAAGAAGGAUUUCGGUUCGUAAAACUCUGUUGUUAGAGAAGAACAGCGCAUAGAGUAACUGUUAUGCGUGUGACGGUAUCUAACCAGAAAGCCACGGCUAACUACGUGCCAGCAGCCGCGGUAAUACGUAGGUGGCAAGCGUUGUCCGGAUUUAUUGGGCGUAAAGCGAGCGCAGGCGGUCAAUUAAGUCUGAUGUGAAAGCCCCCGGCUCAACCGGGGAGGGUCAUUGGAAACUGGUUGACUUGAGUGCAGAAGAGGAGAGUGGAAUUCCAUGUGUGACGGUGAAAUGCGUAGAUAUAUGAAGGAACACCGGUGGCGAAAGCGGCUCUCUGGUCUGUAACUGACGCUGAGGCUCGAAAGCGUGGGGAGCGAACAGG
rnacentral:rRNA from 1 species